GACGUAGGUGGCGAACGUUAUCCGGAAUCAUUGGGCGUAAAGGGCGCGUAGGUGGCGGGACAAGCGUGCGGUGAAAGCUUGGGGCUCAACCCCGAGUCGGCCGUGCGAACUGUCUUGCUUGAGCACUGUAGAGGCAGGCGGAAUUCCGGGUGUAGCGGUGGAAUGCGUAGAGAUCCGGAAGAACACCGGUGGCGAAGGCGGCCUGCUGGGCAGUAGCUGACACUGAGGCGCGGACAGCGUGGGGAGCAAACAGG
rnacentral:rRNA from 1 species